UCCUCGGUAGCUCAAUGGCAGAGCGGGUGGCUGUUAACCACUAGGUUGGGGGUUCGAAUCCCUCCCGAGGAGCCA
rnacentral:tRNA from 1 species